CCUUUUCACGGCUUCUUGUUAAACGAGUUAACACGUGCCUUUUCCAACUUACGUUGUUGCCUCUGAAACUUUACUGAGCGCGUGAGUCACCCGGGUUCCUCGUGGGAAAUGCUUGUUCUUAUUGGGUAGGUCUAAGGUAGAACCUAAGAUUCCAAACUUCUAACAAACCGUUGGUGCUGGCCUUGCUGAUCCGUGGACCCCACGUUGGGCAGCAAGGGCAGAAGCCACUUCUAGCUGAUAGUCUGUCACUUGCUGCCUAAAGCAUCCUGACUCGUGACCGUUUGCCCACUGGAUGGAGCCCAGAGUCUCAUCUUCCCACCAAUCAGGUCUGCUGGGGUCAUCACGUCUGGGCCAGGCCUGGCCGUUCUUGGCUCCAAGCUGAGAGCUGGGUCCAGGUCUGCUGUGUCACAUGCCUCUCCUCGUCCUUGGACAGUGACAACCAUAGGCCUGCUCUCUCAUGAGGGAGGCAGGAGCACAGAGGGCCAGGCCAGCUGUGCAAGCACCUUCCACCCUCCAGUGACAUCAUACCAGCUAAUGCCCCAUUGGCCAAAGCAAGUCAUGUGACCAAACCCAGCAGUAACGGGACAAGGAGGCGGACUCCACAUCUAGAGGCAAAAGCUACACAGUCACGUGACAAAGGACACGGAUCUGGGGAAGGGAGGGGGAAGAACUGGGAACAAUGACCCUCGGUACUACAACCUCCCUGUUGAGGUUUCCACACCCUUAAAACAGGGCCAAGGCUGUGACAUCGAAUCCUGUCCUGUGAGUCUGUGACGAAGUUAAACAAGCCAAUGCCAGAAAGUGCUCAGCAAGGCCGGUCGGGGCAAGAAGCUGAUAUUCACUGUUAGUGUUGCUGUGAACGCUCAAAGUCGUGGAAGUUUCCUUGAAAGUCUGAUUAGAGAAUCAUUCCAACAA